AUAACGUUCGGGAAACCGGAGCUAAUACCGGAUAAUAUUUCGAACCGCAUGGUUCGAUAGUGAAAGGUGGUUUUGCUAUCACUUAUAGAUGGACCCGCGCCGUAUUAGCUAGUUGGUAAGGUAACGGCUUACCAAGGCGACGAUACGUAGCCGACCUGAGAGGGUGAUCGGCCACACUGGAACUGAGACACGGUCCAGACUCCUACGGGAGGCAGCAGUA
rnacentral:rRNA from 1 species